GAAUCGCGAUAAGUAAUGUGAAUUGCAGAUUUUCCGUGAAUCAUCGAAUCUUUGAACGCACCUUGCGCUCCUCGGUAUUCCGAGGAGCAUGCCUGUUUGAGUGUCAUCGAAAUAUCGAAUCGAAGCCUUCGACCCCGUSGGAGCUAGGUUUGGACCAUGGGAGUCUGCGGGCGGUGAACCUCCUGUCGGAGGGGACGUCGGCUCUCCUCAAAAGCAUUAGCGGCGUGUGCGAGCCUCGCACGGCACGGCCUCUUCGACGUCAUAAUGACCGUCGUGGGCUGGAAGCGCGUGGAUCGCGUCGCUUUCCAACUCUGCGAGCCCCGUCUCGGACGGGCCGCGCGUCAUCGAUGUUUGACCUCAAAUCAGGUAGGACUACCCGCCGAACUUAA
rnacentral:rRNA from 1 species